GACGAACGCUGGCGGCGUGCUUAACACAUGCAAGUCGAACGGAAAGGCCCUGCUUUUGUGGGGUGCUCGAGUGGCGAACGGGUGAGUAACACGUGAGUAACCUGCCCUUGACUUUGGGAUAACUUCAGGAAACUGGGGCUAAUACCGGAUAGGAGCUCCUGCUGCAUGGUGGGGGUUGGAAAGUUUCGGCGGUUGGGGAUGGACUCGCGGCUUAUCAGCUUGUUGGUGGGGUAGUGGCUUACCAAGGCUUUGACGGGUAGCCGGCCUGAGAGGGUGACCGGCCACAUUGGGACUGAGAUACGGCCCAGACUCCUACGGGAGGCAGCAGUGGGGAAUAUUGCACAAUGGGCGGAAGCCUGAUGCAGCAACGCCGCGUGCGGGAUGACGGCCCUCGGGUUGUAAACCGCUUUCGCCUGUGACGAAGCGUGAGUGACGGUAGUGGGUAAAGAAGCACCGGCUAACUACGUG
rnacentral:rRNA from 1 species